ACGGAGAGUUUGAUCCUGGCUCAGAACUAACGCUAGUGGCGUGUCUUAGUCAUGCAAGUCGAGCGAGAAAGUUCUCUUCGGAGAACGAGUACAGCGGCAAACGGGUGAGUAACGCGUGGGUAAUCUACCUUUGAGUUGGGGAUAACACUCCUAACGGAGUGCUAAUACCGAAUGUGCUGUCGGGAUCUCGGUUUCGACAUGAAAGAUGGCCUCUGCUUGCAUGCUGUCGCUCAAAGAUGAGCCCGCGUCCUAUUAGCUUGUUGGUGGGGUAACGGCCUACCAAGGCAACGAUGGGUAGCCGGCCUGAGAGGGUGAACGGCCACACUGGCACUGAGACAAGGGCCAGUCCCCUACGGGGGCCAGCAG
rnacentral:rRNA from 1 species